rnacentral:lncRNA from 1 species
AGAGUUCCUAACCUUGAAGGAAAGGAACAGGCUGAGCCAGAAGGUGAUAAACAGUGUGAGAAGUUUAUGGGGGUUGCAGGUCACCAACAGAUUGUGUGUAAAUGCAUGUGCGUAAGUAAGCAAGAACUAUAUAAUGACUGUUUUGUUAUCCUGACGGCAGAACGUUCUCUGAAUAAAGCUACAGAAACCUUUUGCAGAAAGCUGAGUCCUUGCCUAAUUAUUUUAACCCAUUGUCUUACAAACCUUGGGCAUUAGUCAAGGCGAAUUGAUUAUUGAUUGUUAUCAUCAAGAUAUAAAAUUCCUUUAACAAUUGGUCCUUCGAGCCGGAUCUCAAAAACUGCCGCUGUCGUUCCAAGGAGACACCAAAACCGUGCACGGGCGGAUGAAAAAUCCGUAAAUCAAAGACCUGGCCCUUUACUGUGGGUUCUUUACAGGCCGGUGGCAAACUGGUACGCGACAGAGGUGGUGACGAGAUUCAACGAACAUUGAAAAACUCAGCUGCAAAUAACAAGGUGAAUUACAGGAGAAGGUGAUUCACUCAAUCCAACCAGGAGACUGGGUGUGGAUCCAGUCCCUGAGGAGAAAAGACUGAAAGCAGCCCCGUUGGGAAGGCCCAUACCAGGUUCUGUUAAACCACUGCCUUUGCCAUUAGAAAAGCUGAGAGAGUCACUUGGGUCCACGUUAUCCACUGCAAGGAGGUAUGUACACAUAUGAGCACUGCUGAUCACACACAGAGUUAGGAGAAGAACCGAUACCAACAGGGUCCGGGGGUUACCUCCUUAACGAAGAUUCCCUAUCCCGACCGUUCAUCACUGUGUGUGCUCCUAGAGGUGUGAGUAUGGGGUGGUACCAAGCAGAGAGACUAAGGGCAGGAGAGGGUUGACGGUUUUUGGGAAGAGUAGAGACUCUGAGCUGCAUCAUAGUUUUGGUAACCUUUCUGAUACAUUCAGAUCCACCACCUUCCGGUACUAAUCAUAGGAUACCGUUGUCAUUGAGAAGAAGUAGAGGAUAAACUAUAUAAUACACUGAUGAGUGACAUACAGAAUAAGGAAUCAAAGAAGAUCAAGAUGUAGAAUUUAAGGUAAACAUUAAACAAUUUCCUGGGGAAGCAGACAACUGUACAGGAAUUGGGGUUGGCCAGAUUGAAGUACUCAGCCAACCCACCUCGGUUCACCUAAAUUCCUGAUGAGCACCAGUGUUAUAGAUACAAGAAUGGCACCGAGAACUUAGAUGAUUUUAAUGGCUGAAAGGUAAUCGUUAAUGUGACUGACUUAGGUUUGAAAGCACAGGAGAAAAUGUUUAACCUCACAGCACCUAUAACUGAUGUAGGGUGGGCUAGUACCAGCAAAGGACGCAUACGAAAUUACCACAAAGGGUGGUUAGGAACUUGCGCCCUGGGGUUAUUGGUCCAACCAGUUCGAGUUAGUCAUCAGAGGCCAGUUAUAGGAGGCUAAAGUAGGCACAGGAGGAGUUUUGAUCAGGAUGGGAGUAGCUUUGUCUAGAUGGAUGCUAUUGGCAUCCUCAGGGAAGUUCCAGAUGAAUACAAAGCUAUGAAUCAAAUAUGUGAAGGCUUUAACACUACAUUAUUUUGGUGGUUGACAAUAAAUAGAAAUGUGGAUUGGAUUAAUGACAUCUUUUAUAAUCAACAGAGAUUCAUGAAUGAAAACGGGGAUGCAGUAAAGAGGUUCUCUGACCAAUCAUCCGCCACCCCCCUCAUGACCUGGUAAAAUACACUGACUCUCGAUAUGUUAUUGGCAGAAGAGGGCAGUGUAGGUAGAAUGAUUAGGUUCAGCGCUACACGUACAUUCCUGAUAACACAUCCCAUGUUUGGGAAAUGGAAAAGUGUUGUAAGAACUGUAUUAUGGGCUGCUUUCACCUGUAUGAGUGUGUUUGUGUUGUGUGGAUGUUGUCUCGUCCCAUGUGUGAGAGGUUUAAUCACCAGGACUCUAGAGAGAUCGAUGACGCAGCAGAUGGUGAGAUAUGGACCAAUUCCGAGCUCCGAUCAGUGGGAUGGCGAAUGCGGGCCUCCAGGCCAGGAAGAUGGCUCCGUUUCUUUUAAUCACGAGGAGCCAAUGUUUGAUGAAACAAUUUUCAACGUUUUGAUUGAAUUUUCAACAUUUAGAUGGACUGUUCCUUUAAUGAAAAUGAUUAUGAAAAUCCUGAAUCAAAGUGUCAUAAUUGGAAAUAGGCCUAGGACUGUCAUUGAUGGGUAUAGGAGGAAUAAUUAUGUAUUAGUUUUGUUAAAUCCUUGUAUCACAAUUAAGUUACAUAUAGCGUGUGAUUAUUUGUGUUUCCAUAUAGCGUAUGAUUAUUCAUAUUUCCAUAUAGCGUGUGAUUAUUUGUGUUUACAUAUAGCGUGUGAUUAUUUGUGUUUCCAUAUAGCGUGUGAUUAUUUGUGUUUCCAUAUAGCGUGUGAUUAUUUGUAUUUCCAUAUAGCGUGUGAUUAUUUGUGUUUCCAUAUAGCGUGUGAUUAUUUGUGUUUCCAUAUAGCGUGUGAUUAUUUGUGUUUCCAUAUAGCGUGUGAUUAUUCAUAUUUCCAUAUAGCGUGUGAUUAUUUGUGUUUCCAUAUAGCGUGUGAUUAUUUGUGUUUCCAUAUAGCGUAUGAUUAUUUGUAUUUCCAUAUAGCGUGUGAUUAUUUGUAUUUCCAUAUAGCGUGUGAUUAUUUGUGAUUACAUAUAGCAUGUGAUUAUUAGGGUUCUCAUAUAGCAUUUGAUCAUCAUGGUGAAUUAUUGAAUCAUUUAAGGGUGGAAUUGAUAAGAGAAUUAUCUAAUAAAGGUAAAUUAAUCAAUAAACCAUGAUGAAUUAUUAGUCAUACAGCAUGGUUAAUGAAUAAUCAAGGUAAUGAUCAAUGUAGGGAUCGAUUGGUCUGAUUAGUUCCGGAAAGUCCAGGAACCACUGGAGAGGGAAAGAAAUGGGUGUAUGCAAUUAGUAUAGAGAGCUAGAGAAGCAGAUGGUCAAGGGAGUAAAACUAACCUUGAAGGAAAGGAACAGGCUGAGCCAGAAGGUGAUAAACAGUGUGAGAAGUUUAUGGGGGUUGCAGGUCACCAACAGAUUGUGUGUAAAUGCAUGUGCGUAAGUAAGCAAGAACUAUAUAAUGACUGUUUUGUUAUCCUGACGGCAGAACGUUCUCUGAAUAAAGCUACAGAAACCUUUUGCAGAAAGCUGAGUCCUUGCCUAAUUAUUUUAACCCAUUGUCUUACAAACCUUGGGCAUUAGUCAAGGCGAAUUGAUUAUUGAUUGUUAUCAUCAAGAUAUAAAAUUCCUUUAACAGUGUCUUAAACACUUGGUAACUGUCUGUAGUACUCAAUCAAUAAAUAACAUGAAACCAAUACCUUCAAAAAGAUAUCCUAAUAAACACCUUUGGCACUGUCUGGUGGCCGAUCUUUGUAAUUACACUAUCGG